CCUACGGGUGGCAGCAGUGAGGAAUAUUGGUCAAUGGGCUUACGCCUGAACCAGCCAAGUCGCGUGGGGGAAGACUGCCCUAUGGGUUGUAAACCUCUUUUGUCGGGGAGCAACUCCGGCUACGUGUAGCCUGACUAACAGUACCUGCAGAAAAAGCAUCGGCUAACUCCGUGCCAGCAGCGGCGGUAAUACGGAGGAUGCGAGCGUUAUCCGGCUUUAUUGGGGUUAAAGGGUGCGUAGGCGGAAUGCCAAGUCAGCGGUAAAAUCGCGGGGCUCAACCUCGAUCUGGCGUUGAAACGGGCGUUCUGGAGUGGGAGAGAAGUAGGUGGAAUGCGUGGUGUAGCGGUGAAAUGCAUAGAUAUCACGCAGAAUUCUGAUUGCGAAGGCAGCAUACCGGAGCAUAACUGACGCUGAAGCACGAAAGCGUGGGUAUCGAACAGGAUUAGAUACCCUUGUAGUC
rnacentral:rRNA from 1 species